rnacentral:rRNA from 1 species
GACAGUGUCUGGUGGGUAGUUUGACUGGGGCGGUCUCCUCCUAAAGAGUAACGGAGGAGCACGAAGGUUGGCUAAUCCUGGUCGGACAUCAGGAGGUUAGUGCAAUGGCAUAAGCCAGCUUGACUGCGAGCGUGACGGCGCGAGCAGGUGCGAAAGCAGGUCAUAGUGAUCCGGUGGUUCUGAAUGGAAGGGCCAUCGCUCAACGGAUAAAAGGUACUCCGGGGAUAACAGGCUGAUACCGCCCAAGAGUUCAUAUCGACGGCGGUGUUUGGCACCUCGAUGUCGGCUCAUCACAUCCUGGGGCUGAAGUAGGUCCCAAGGGUAUGGCUGUUCGCCAUUUAAAGUGGUACGCGAGCUGGGUUUAGAACGUCGUGAGACAGUUCGGUCCCUAUCUGCCGUGGGCGCUGGAGAACUGAGGGGGGCUGCUCCUAGUACGAGAGGACCGGAGUGGACGCAUCACUGGUGUUCGGGUUGUCAUGCCAAUGGCACUGCCCGGUAGCUAAAUGCGGAAGAGAUAAGUGCUGAAAGCAUCUAAGCACGAAACUUGCCCCGAGAUGAGUUCUCCCUGACUCCUUGAGAGUCCUGAAGGAACGUUGAAGACGACGACGUUGAUAGGCCGGGUGUGUAAGCGCAGCGAUGCGUUGAGCUAACCGGUACUAAUGAACCGUGAGGCUUAACCUU